rnacentral:rRNA from 1 species
GAUGAACGCUGGCGGCGUGCCUAAUACAUGCAAGUCGAGCGAACAGACCAGGAGCUUGCGCCUCUGACGUUAGCGGCGGACGGGUGGGUAACACGUGGAUAACCUACCUAUAAGACUGGGAUAACUUCGGGAAACCGGAGCUAGUACCGUAUAAUAUAUUGAACCGCAUGGGUCCGUAGUGAAACACGGGUCUGCUGUCCCUUAUAGAUGGAUCCGCGCCGCAUUAGCUGGUGGGUAAGGUAACGGCUUACCAAGGCGACGAUGCGUAGCUGACCUGAGCGGGGGACCGGCCCCGCUGGAACUGGGACACGGUCCAGACUCCUACGGGGGGCCGCCGUAGGGAAUCUUCCGCGAUGGGCGAAAGCCUGACGGAGCAACGCCGCGUGAGCUAUGAAGGUCUUCGGAUCGUAAAACUCUGUUAUUAGGGAAGAACAAAUGUGUAAGUCACUAUGCACGUCUUGACGGUACCUGAUCAGAAAGCCACGGCUAACUACGUG